GAUAUGAGCUGUCCAUCCCCUCGCAGUCCUCCUCACUCCCCGGACCUGUGAUCAUCUCCUCCACCUAACCUCGAUGUCCGCCACGUCUUCUCCGCCGGCGCCGGAAGCUCAGACUCUGAUUCCAUGCCUCCCUGACGACGUCGCUGUGAGCAUCCUCGCCCGGGUCCCGAGGUCUCAACACCCGGUCCUCUGCCUAGUCUCCAGAGCCUUCAGAUCCCUCCUCUCCUCCGCCCUCUUCGCCACCACCCGCCGCCUCCUCAGCCCCACCGAGCCCUCCCUCUACCUCACCCUUCGCUCCAGCUCCACCUCCUCCCUCCUCUGCUUCACCCUUCUCCGCCGGCGCCUCGUCCCCAUCUCCCCGGUUCCAUCCCCCUACAUCGGGUCCGCUUACGCCGUCCUCGGUCCAGAGCUCUACGUCCUCGGAGGGUCCCACAACGACGUGGCCUCCGCUCGGGUCUGGGUCCUUGACUGCCGGUUUAACACCUGGCGCCCCGGCCCAUCCAUGCGGGUCCCCCGUGAAUUCGCCGCUGCGGGUGUGGUCGACGGUAAGCUCUACGUGAUGGGUGGUUGCGUGGCAGACACAUGGGCUCGCGCCGCCAAUUGGGCUGAGGCCCUCGACCCGAAGACUGGCUCGUGGGCAGCGGUACCGAGCCCGGACGAGGUGAGGGAAAAGUGGAUGCACGCGAGCGCGGUGAUCGAUGGAAAACUGUACGCAAUGGCCGAUCGGGGUGGGGUCGUGUAUGAUUCGAGGAGGGAGGUGUGGUCCCCGGUGGAAAAUGAGCUCGACAAUGGCUGGAGAGGGAGAGCUUGCGUGGUUGAUGGAAUUUUGUAUUGCUACGACUACUUGGGCAAGAUUCGGGGGUUCGACUGGGGAGAAGGGCUUUGGAAGGAGCUAAAGGGGGUCGAGAAGGGCCUCCCGAGGUUCCUUUGCGGCGCGACAAUGGCCAAUAUGGGUGGUAAUUUGAUUGUGGUUUGGGAAGGGAAGUCAGCCGUCGGAAAUGGGAAGGAGAUGGAGGUCUGGUGUGCGGAGAUUGAGGUGAGGAAGGAUUGCAAUGGGGAGCUGGUGGGUGAGAUUCGUUGGUCGGAGUCGGUUUUAACGGUUCCUGCCCGGUCCUCAAUUGUCCACUGUGUGGCAGUCACAUUGUGACGGUUCUUGCUGAUUCCUUUAUCCGAUACAUUUUCCGAGAUGUUGCUUGAUUUUCCUCGGUUUCUUCAUGUAGGAUAACAAGACUGUUGGGACUACUAUUCAACAACCAAUCGUUACCUGAUGCCGAAAAGGGGAUGCAGUUAUCUUGCUUUUGGCCGCUUAUCAAGCCAAAUAUAAGUCGAGCAUAUCCACGAUCCGGAUGAUUAGCAUGAGGAGUGAAUAAGAUGUAAAAGAACCCUGUGAUAUGUAGCAUAUCCACAAAUUGUGUAUAAAUUGUGUUGACGCGAUGUAUCAAGUAGAUGUACGUAGUGAUAAGCCCGUUACUCCUGCUAUCAUAGUAAGAUUGUGUACAAGUCUACUCGAGAUCUUAUCAGACAAUGUAGAGCUUCAUGUUUAUCGAUUCACCACCUUUUUUAA